rnacentral:lncRNA from 1 species
UGGGCACUGAGGGCCAGGUACACUGCAGGACCCCGCUGUGAGAGUGUCACUGAGGUGUCUGAUCAGGAAGGCCAAGAAGGGGUGACAUCUGUGACUGUGAAGGUGGGGGUGGCUGUUUCGGUACAAAACGUGCAGGAAAUGUUUCUCCCACACCUACCGCAGCCAAGCCAUGGUCGUUGACUUGAGUGACAGGGGAAUGGGAGACUAGGAUGUCUCAGCACAAGCCCCCCUAAGCCUUGGCUUGCAGGGUGAGGUCUUGAACACAGCCAGAGCCUGUUACAUUAAAGGCUUUGUAAAAGCAACAUUGCCAGGCUAACAUCCACCUCCCACGUUAGCAGCAGCCCCGGCAGGUGUAACGUGAUCCGGGCAGCCCAAGCCAGCGAGUAAACAAACGGCCGCUUUCUGCACAAGCUGCACCAGAGAACCUCUCCCAGCAGGGAAUUAGGGUGAAUACUGGUGCUACGCGAGCUGUGCUGCUAUGGAAAGGUUCAAGCCCCAUCUCCAGCACAAGAAAACCUGUGUAGCCCUUCCUUUUGUGGCCAGAGCUGCAAAACAGCCCCACAGCCAGAGCACUCGCACAAGGAGCCAUUAGACAAGACAGACAUUGGGAAAAGCUAUAAAUAAAGCGACUCUGGUGGUGAAG